rnacentral:lncRNA from 1 species
CCAACAAGCCAGCAGGGAGAACAGCCUCAGCAUGGUCAAAACACUGCCUGGCUCUUUCCAAAGCCACUUCCUCCAUGGAGCAAGAGGCCUCUAGUGACCUGGUGGUCACUUGCAGUCCCCUCUGGACCUGGAGCCAGAAGCUGUGGCAGAUGAACAAGGCCCUUUCAAGAGGGGCUGGCUGGACACUGUGUGUGGAGAGACAGUGAGCAGCUGUUGUGUGCAUGUACCCAGGGGGCCUUAGAUGCACCAAGGCAUACAAGUAUGGGGUCAGAGUUGUCCACUCUCAAGAUGAGGAGGAGAGCAUGAUUCAGAUAAUGCUGCAGGUGUUUAGUGAUGAGCUGUCAUUCUAAUCUUUAAACAGGAGAAAGGAAAUCCUACGAAUUAAAUGUGUUGUCAGAAGCUGGUUUAAAAAAAGAAAAGAUGGAAGCCAGGCACAGUGGCACAAGACUUAAUCCCAGCUAUUUGGGAGGCUGAAACAGGAAGACUGACUUCAAGUCCACCAUGGGGAACGUGAUGAGACACCUUUCUCAAAAAUAGAAAGACAAGGACUGGCAUAGUGUGGUGGAUUAUAAGGCUCUUCAGGAUCAAUUUUGGAACAAUAACAAAAAGUCAUGAUAAUAAAGCAGAAAGUAAAUGAUGAAUGACCUGAAAUAAGAGUCCCAUUUAUGUAUUUAUAUUCCAGAAGAAGAAACAACAUGAAGCAUUCACAAAGGUUGCAUCUAAUACUUUUCUUUUUAUAAAAUAUCUAUGAUCACUUUUCCCUGAUUGACUGUUAGAAAAAUACUAUUUUUUUUCAUGCAAUAUCAUUAAUCAAGUGGUAGGAGUUUGAAAUGUCCACACUGCACUCAGUUAUAUAGAAUACACUUUUUUUUUUUUCCUUUUAAAUUCUGGGGAACUCAGCUCAUCUGCUCAGAUGCUUCCGUUCCACUCAUUUUUGAGUGUAGGAAGUUAACUCCCUAUCAAACUGAUCUUUGCUCUGGCUCCAGGAGUUUCCAUUCUCUUUCUGUUUCUA